UUUCCGUAGGUGAACCUGCGGAAGGAUCAUUGUCGAAGCCUGCCCAGCAGAACGACCCGCGAACUUGUAUAAACAACCGGGGGCAGGGGCGAUCUCGCCCCGUGCCCUCGAACGGCAGGGAGACACUCGUGCCUUCUUGUCGAACAACGAACUCCGGCGCGGUCUGCGCCAAGGAACUUCAAUUAAAGAGUGCCUCCGGUCGCCUCGGAAACGAUGCGCGUGUCGGAGGCGAAUCUUGUACAAAACCAUAACGACUCUCGGCAACGGAUAUCUCGGCUCUC
rnacentral:misc_RNA from 1 species